AUUGAACGCUGGCGGCAUGCCUUACACAUGCAAGUCGAACGGCAGCGGGGGAGAAGCUUGCUUUUCCUGCCGGCGAGUGGCGAACGGGUGAGUAAUACAUCGGAACGUGCCCUGUAGUGGGGGAUAACUAGUCGAAAGAUUAGCUAAUACCGCAUACGACCUGAGGGUGAAAGCGGGGGACCGCAAGGCCUCAUGCUAUAGGAGCGGCCGAUGUCUGAUUAGCUAGUUGGUGGGGUAAAGGCCUACCAAGGCGACGAUCAGUAGCUGGUCUGGGAGGACCAUCAGCCACACUGGGACGGAGACACGGCCCAGACUCCUACGGGAGGCAGCAGUGGGGAAUUUUGGACAAUGGGCGAAAGCCUGAUCCAGCAAUGCCGCGUGUGUGAAGAAGGCCUUCGGGUUGUAAAGCACUUUUGUCCGGAAAGAAAUGGCUCUGGUUAAUACCUGGGGUCGAUGACGGUACCGGAAGAAUAAGGACCGGCUAACUACGUGCCAGCAGCCGCAGUAA
rnacentral:rRNA from 1 species